GCUGUCACUGGUAAUCACUAACAAGCAUCUACUAAGUCCCAGGUACCCAGCAAAGUCUGGUGAUACCAAAGCAGUGGGAGAGUCAGACAGUGGACAAUCAACCAUAACAAUCCUGGAACAAAGGACCCCAGAAGGAAGCAAGUUUAACUUUGCCUGAGGGCUUUAAGGGAAGGAUCAAUGCAGGAAACUGUGAGUGAACCAGACACUCUGGAAGGAGGAAAAGCCGGAACAACCGAUGGGCUCUGGUGGUCACCCUGCAACCAGAGAAGAGAGAGCCCACCGUGGUUGUCGGAUGACGGGUUAGCCACGCCUGGGGAAGAGCUGACUGUGCAGCCUCCGUUCCUGUCUCCUGGGUGACAAAGCCUCCGGAUGACCCUGCCAACAAUAAUGAGAUGAAAAUCAAGAGUCCUGCAGUAUAAUGAGAGCGAUAAAAAUAGAGACUUGCUUAAGUAAAGGGCCCGCGCUGCGGUGGUUGAGGAGGGGGAAGAGCCAAGCCCGGAGCUGGUGGGCGGGGCCUCCCGGCCAGACUCCCUGCUCUGUCGCUGUGACUCAAACAGGCCAAGGCUGGUUCGUAGGUGGGGUGGCAAAGACGUCAGAGAGGAAUUAAAGAGUGGACCGUCGUAAACAUCCUGAGCAGACUCUGCCCUGGUAACUGUGACUCUGACCUCCACAGGGGAGGGACAGGGUGUGGCCGACACAUGCUGAUGGGGGUUGUGACAUUCCUGCCCUUAGCUUGAACCCCUUGCCUGCCAGUGAGCAUCAGAAAAUGCUCUAAGAAUUAACGCGCGAAUUUUUUUUCAAACAUUGUACCUCUUGUCUCCAGUGUAUAGUGGAAAAACUCUUGUUUAUUCUUCCCCCUUCUUUCCCUCCCUCCUUCCUUCCUCAGUUGGUGGCUUGGAGUAUCUGCCAGGAAAAGCAGCCGCUUCAGUGAAAGGAAGGAGGGAUCUGGGCGCUGC